AACAAGUUUGUCAUAUGGCUGGACCUUUUGAAUUAUGAAGUUGUAGAGAAACUAUUGAAUUACAGUGGGAUUACUGCUGAAGUUAUGCAUGCGUGGUACAUCCGAAGCCACAGGACAUAACUACGUUACAGGCGUAACGAACACUCUUAUGGGGAGUACAACUUACAGUUAUGAUGACCCGGACGAUUUGACAUACGAUUUUGGUUGCAUUAGGUAGACCUAUACCUUGGAAAAUUGAGAACCUUUUGUAUCCUCCUUGCUUUACCCCAUGACUUCUUAUUUUCUACCAUCUGAUUUCAUUCAUGUAUUUACAUCAAAACUACAAGGGAACAGAGAAAAGGGCCAUCUUAGAAUUCACAUGAAGUUUUUAUAUUUGAAAGGCAAGAGGUAAGAACUCUGGUCUUUAAUCUAUAUGGGCAUAUGACAAAGCCCGGCGCUGAGAAUGCCAGGUAUACUGGUCUUCACGAAAAAAACUCUUCAACACCUUGUUCUGCAAAUCUGUUUGAAAUAAACACCUUGUUCUGCAAAUCUGUUAGUAGUUAUCAUAUGAAGAUUGGCUUUGCAGCUGUUCGAGUUGUCUUUUGUUGUAUUGAUGCUUAAAUACAUAGAAUUUUAUCAGUUAUUUUUUGUGUAUAUGUAGGCUAUAAAGAUUUUAUAUGAACCUUGUUUGGGGAGACGACUAAGGCAAUGGUUCUAAUUGUAUGUUGCUCCUCAAUCCACAUGAUAGCAAAACACCUAUGGGUUCUUAAAUUUUA